rnacentral:rRNA from 1 species
GACGGAGGAUGCAAGCGUUAUCCGGAAUUACUGGGCGUAAAGCGUGCGCAGGCGGCUUUGCAAGACAGAUGUGAAAUCCCCGGGCUUAACCUGGGAACUGCAUUUGUGACUGCAUGGCUGGAGUGCGGCAGAGGGGGAUGGAAUUCCGCGUGUAGCAGUGAAAUGCGUAGAUAUGCGGAGGAACACCGAUGGCGAAGGCAAUCCCCUGGGCCUGCACUGACGCUCAUGCACGAAAGCGUGGGGAGCAAACAGG